UACGGAGGGGGCGAGCGUUAUUCGGAAUUAUUGGGCGUAAAGGGCGCGUAGGCGGCUUGGCAAGUCAAAGGUGAAAUCCCUCGGCUCAACUGAGGAACUGCCUUUGAAACUGCCUGGCUUGAGGACGGGAGGGGGUAGCGGAAUUCCCAGUGUAGCGGUGAAAUGCGUAGAUAUUGGGAGGAACACCAAUUGCGAAGGCAGCUCGCUGGGACGUUACUGACGCUGAGACGCGAAAGCGUGGGGAGCAAACAGG
rnacentral:rRNA from 1 species